CGCCAGGGUACUACGAGCUUAGCUUAAAACCCAAAGGACUUGGCGGUGUCUCAGACCCACCUAGAGGAGCCUGUUCUAGAACCGAUAAUCCCCGUUAAACCUCACCACUUCUUGUUAAUUCCGCCUAUAUACCGCCGUCGCCAGCUUACCCCAUGAGGGUCUAAUAGUAAGCAAAAUGGACAAAUCCCAAAACGUCAGGUCGAGGUGUAGCGCACGAAGUGGAAAGAAAUGGGCUACAUUUUCUAUAACAGAAAAUCACGAAUGGUCUACUGAAACACACACCUGAAGGAGGAUUUAGUAGUAAAAAGCAAAUAGAGAGUCCUUUUGAACCCGGCUCUGAAACACGC
rnacentral:rRNA from 1 species